GCCAGCGUCGAUGGCAUGUUGAAUACACCGGUUCCCUUCAGAACACCGAAGUUAAGCGACAUCCAGCGAGGUUAAGACUUGGAUGGGUGACCAUUCAAAUUCUAAUUCUCGUGACGCUGGCU
rnacentral:rRNA from 2 species